CUACGUGCCAGCAGCCGCGGUAAUACGGAGGGUGCGAGCGUUAAUCGGGAUAACUGGGCGUAAAGGGCACGCAGGCGGUGACUUAAGUGAGGUGUGAAAGCCCCGGGCUUAACCUGGGAAUUGCAUUUCAUACUGGGUCGCUAGAGUACUUUAGGGAGGGGUAGAAUUCCACGUGUAGCGGUGAAAUGCGUAGAGAUGUGGAGGAAUACCGAAGGCGAAGGCAGCCCCUUGGGAAUGUACUGACGCUCAUGUGCGAAAGCGUGGGGAGCAAACAGGAUUAGAUACCCUGGUAGUCCACGCUGUAAACGAUGUCGAUUUGGGGGUUGAGCUUUAAGUUUGGCGCCCGUAGCUAACGUGAUAAAUCGACCGCCUGGGGAGUACGGCCGCAAGGUUAAAACUCAAAUGAAUUGACGGGGGCCCGCACAAGCGGUGGAGCAUGUGGUUUAAUUCGAUGCAACGCGAAGAACCUUACCUACUCUUGACAUCCAGAGAACAUUC
rnacentral:rRNA from 1 species